rnacentral:rRNA from 1 species
UAGGGAAUCUUCCGCAAUGGACGCAAGUCUGACGGAGCAACGCCGCGUGAGUGAAGAAGGAUUUCGGUUCGUAAAACUCUGUUGUUAGAGAAGAACAGCGCAUAGAGUAACUGUUAUGCGUGUGACGGUAUCUAACCAGAAAGCCACGGCUAACUACGUGCCAGCAGCCGCGGUAAUACGUAGGUGGCAAGCGUUGUCCGGAUUUAUUGGGCGUAAAGCGAGCGCAGGCGGUCAAUUAAGUCUGAUGUGAAAGCCCCCGGCUCAACCGGGGAGGGUCAUUGGAAACUGGUUGACUUGAGUGCAGAAGAGGAGAGUGGAAUUCCAUGUGUAGCGGUGAAAUGCGUAGAUAUAUGGGGGAACACCAGUGGCGAAGGCGACUCUCUGGUCUGUAACUGACGCUGAGGUUCGAAAGCGUGGGUAGCAAACAGG